rnacentral:rRNA from 1 species
GACGAACGCUGGCGGCGUGCUUAACACAUGCAAGUCGAACGGAAAGGCCCUGCUUUGGUGGGGUGCUCGAGUGGCGAACGGGUGAGUAGCACGUGAGUAACCUGCCCUUGACUUUGGGAUAACUUCAGGAAACUGGGGCUAAUACCGGAUAGGAGCUCCUGCUGCAUGGUGGGGGUUGGAAAGUUUCGGCGGUUGGGGAUGGACUCGCGGCUUAUCAGCUUGUUGGUGGGGUAGUGGCUUACCAAGGCUUUGACGGGUAGCCGGCCUGAGAGGGUGACCGGCCACAUUGGGACUGAGAUACGGCCCAGACUCCUACGGGAGGCAGCAGUGGGGAAUAUUGCACAAUGGGCGGAAGCCUGAUGCAGCCACGCCGCGUGCGGGAUGACGGCCUUCGGGUUGUAAACCGCUUUCGCCUGUGACGAAGCGUGAGUGACGGUAAUGGGUAAAGAAGCACCGGCUAACUACGUG